AAGCUCUCUGGUCAUGACUGUGAGGCGACAGAAGAGAGACGGAACCAGGACUGACAACAACGCAAGCCUGAGAGGGUUUCCAAGAGCAAACUUGAGUGUGUGUGGACAUCAUCAGCCACAAUGAGCAUUCUCAAGGUGCUCACUGUUGCCCUUGUGCUAUUUGGAACCAGCAGUCUUUCUGCUAAAAUAAAGAGACAACUGCCAUCAAAUUCAUUUUUUACUCCAAAUGACCACAGUCCACCUGG